UUUUUUUUUUUUUUUUUUUUAGUUAAAAUUGGGAAAUUAAGAAGUAAUGAUGAUGUGAUAAUGGAAAAUAUGAAUUUUCCAUUAAUUGUCACCAAAAUCCGUGUUUAAUCCUCACAACAUAUUUUGUCAGGUAUUUUCAUUAUAAUCAUUUAAGAUGAGAAAACCGAGGUGUAACAAAGUUAGUUAGCCCAUACAAAAUAAUUUCACAUACCUAGGGAAUAGUUUAGUUGGGAUUCCAAAGUCUAUAAUUAUAAUAAUCAUAGGCUUGUAGAAAUUAUAUCAAUAUCAAGAAACAGUUUAUCAUCCUGACAAUUGUUUUAAUAAUAUUUAUGAGAAGAGAAAUUUAAAUUUACUUAAUCUUACUAUAUAGUGGCAGCUAGAAUUUUUUUUCUUUUAAUGAUGUACUCAGUUUCUCAUCUUACCCCCUCUCAAAUUCUUCUCUAUUAGACUAUCUACUAGAGAAAAACAUUCUGUGGUACUCAACAUUAUUCUGGUUAAAAAGCAGUUGUUGAUAAAAUAAAGCCACUUCAGAUUGUGAUUUCAUUGAGUUUAACCCUUUCAAUAACCCAUACAUAUGUAGUAAAUGUAUAUAAAAUGGAAUUGGAAGAGAAUGCAGAAUAAUGCUAAGUGAACCUCUGAUAAAUAUAUUUAUAGUUAGCAUUUACCAAAGAUUACUUAUGCUCAAAACAUAAAUUUUUAAAUCAUCUAACAUGUAUUAAUUUGAAAAUAAACUUAAAAUCAUGAAAAAGAAACCAAAUUUUCUUUUGAGAGAUAUUUUAACAUGUAUGUUUUUGUUCGUGUGUAAAAAAAAUCUAGGUAGAUUUUUCAAACAUUCCACAAAAUUUGUUUUUUUUUUGAUUUCUUCAAAAGCAUGCAUUUAUUGUAUCCUUAAUGAUAUCAACAAUAAUACUAUGACAAAAUGUGUGUUUUCAAAUGAAUUUAUCUUAAUGAUUAAAAACAAGAAAACUAACAAACAGUAAACAUUUUACAGUAAAAAUUUCACAUCAUUUUCUUAAGUACAAUUGUCUGAGUUCUAUGAUGAAUACAAUGGCAUUACACCACUUUUCAAUCAUUUUGCUGUUUGUUAAAAUUACAGCUAAGUGUACGUAUUGUGAAAAGAUUAUACCAAAGCCUACUUAUGAAAAUGUACUUGGUAAAGUCUUGUAAAUGUCACAAUAGCAUUUUAAUGAUAAUAGCCAAGAUAUUGGUCAUGUGGAGAUUUCUUAAAUUUCUAAUGCCCUAUCAAAGAAUCCAAGUUCCUUUUAAUAAUUUCAAGUUUUAGUAGUUCAUUUACCAGACUCCCAAAGCCUUAAUUUCUCUAGUUCAUUUCAAUGUAAAUUACUUUCAUUCAUAUUAUCCAAACUUAAAUAAGAUUCUAUUUCCUUAAGAUCUUUGAGUAAUUACUUGCUUCCUGAAGCCAGGAAUCAGAACUCCAAGGAGAAUGGUUUAUUUUUUAGUUUUUUGCUUGAUACAAAAAAAAAUCUUCAGUGAGAUUUCAUCUGUUAACAAAGAAGGUAGUUAAAAUGCAGUUAUGUAUAUGGUGCUUUAGUUAAAUUAGGAAUUUUUUAAAGAACGUGUGGGUUUAAUCCAGUCAAACAAUUAAUUUUAUUUGAUUAUAAAUUUUAUCUAUAUAUUUUCACUCUUGCUGAACCUUCAAAAUUUCCAUUUAUGGUAUUGCUGAUUUUGCAUAUGCAAUCUUUGAAAACUGUAUUUAUUAGUAUGUCUAUAAUGCCUAAGAUUCAUCAACAAUGUGUCAAACAUUGGUCUGAGCUUUUCUUUCACAAUUAAAGUUUAAUUAUUUUAAUUGAAAAUUGCUUAACAAACAUAAUAAUUGAGUGAUCUGCAUAAAGCCUGACCUUGAUACACAUAAUCUCCUCAUUGAGGUUCCAAUCAAUUUAGCCUGUUAAAUGUUGAUAUAUUAAAUCUUUUGUGCUGGUUAUAGAGGGGCAUUCUCUAGGCAUUUAUGGCUUUCCUUGUUCAAGAUAGUUACAGAUAGCCUGGGAUGUCCCAUUUGACAACUGGCCAGCUUUAUUUGCCACUAGAAAACUGAAUUAUGAAAAUAAAAAUAUUCUCCAUUCAAAUUAGCAAUUGUGUGAAAUAGCUAUAAUGAGAAUUUCCAGAAUGCGCAUAGUAUUUUUUUCAUUUGCAUAUGUGGUGUGCAAGUGUGUUCUUUUAGGGAUUUAGAGAAAACUGGUAUUUGUGGAAUUUGGGACUAGAUGAAAACUGAGGCUAAACUAAAUCAGUUAUGACUUCAAUUCAUAUUGCUAUUCAGAGAAUGGAAUGGGAUGGUGCAGAAGUAAUUAAAUUGGUCAAGUUAGAUCUAAAAAUCAACCUUUUAAAAUGAACCUAAUUCAAAGUAAUUGCCCCUUGUUUUAAUCUUGGUGUGUAAAGUCAAAAGAUAUUUAUUUCUGUAAGAAAUUGCAAUUACAUAUUUUUAGAGGGGGAAAAAAUGUUUUAAGCACAACUUGGACUCAAGUCUAAAGGCAAUGUCUUCUAAGCUACUAAUUUUACAGAUGAGAAAGCAGGUCCAGGGUGUUGAGAAAGACUUUGCCAAGAGCCAGAGACAUUCUGAAUUGACAGCUCAAAAAUAAACCAAGCUUGUGAAUCUUUAGAUUUAUAUAAUUGAAAAGAAUCCUUACAUACAGUUAAACUUUUAUAUAAUGAAGCAAUGUUAGAAAUUCUUCAACAAGUUAGAAUACAGAAUCUCAUCUUCAAAUAGCUCUACUGAUACUAAGUUAUGAAUUGAGCUGAAAUCAAAUUUGUCUUCUUAGAGUUAAGUGAAAGAAUCUUAGAAGUAUAGCUAUUAAAUUAUGGCUCAGUUGAAGUAUGAUUAUUAAUCAUUUUCUAGGGAAAGAAUCUUUACAUUUUAAGUAUAUGUGUUUAUAUCUGAAUAUAAGGGAGGAUACCAGUUGCUCCAAAUAUUCAUUAACAUAAAACACUAACAUUUUAAAUUGCCUUGCAUGUUAAUUUGUAAUACUAUUUGCAAGAAUAUGACAUCUUGAGAAUAUGUAUAAUAUUCUUCGCUGAAAUGUAUAUUUACUAUUAUAGGUACCUAUAAUUAUGUUACUGAUUAGAACAGUAUGAAAAAUGAGUUUAAAUAAUUCAUAAAUAUAUUAAUUACUUUAAAUAUUAUUACAUGAGGGUGAGUGUUAUUUUUAUUAGAACAAAAGGGGAAAAACACAUCUCUACUGUGUUAUAACAUGCAAGAUAAGUACAAUUUUUGGUGAAACCUGUGAUACAAUACCUGAGUAAAGAAAAUGAUUAUAAAAAUUAGACUAAAAGAAAACCUGAUCUCAUAUAUUCUCUGUCCCAAAUUGUAUUCAUACUUAGCUAUAAGGUUCUGAUUUUUUAUCUUACAUCCCUAUGACUGACACAUACUUUAAUGCUAACUUUAUUUCAAAACGUUUUCUCUGAGUUACCUUUAUAAAAAUAAUUAUAUGUCUAAAACCUGUUUCAUUUUUUUUUUUUUACCAUAUUUUGAAACCAACUUCUGUACCUCUACCCUGUUGGGCCAUCUACACUCUACAAGUGCUUUUAUCAGUAGGAGAUAAACAUUUUCAAUUUUAAAUCUUAGUUCCAUGAAUUUUAUAAAGUGCCCCUGUAUGUUUUUAUAUUUAUAUGACCCUCAGCAAGUGGGCUGGGAUCAUUAUUAACCAUCACCAAGUGCAUGACUCUCAGUUGCUUAUUCACCCUGAGAAAUACUAAGAGGAGCUUAGUAUUGUUUAUGAUAAAAUAAUUCAUCUACAUAAAAGAGGUUUCAGUGUGCUUUUUUAAAAGUACAAAGUUAAUAGAUUUGUAGCAACAACAAAAUCGAGAAAAAUUAUAUUGUCAGCACUCCAGACGCUUCCUUUGAUUUUGCCUAUGCAAAUGCUUUAGCCUCUCUAAGGGUUAAGGAUUAACUUAAAUAAUAGUCAUUUUGUUUUUAUUUAUAUUUUUGUAUGUAUAAUUGGAUCCUUAAAAUUGAAGUUUUGCUCAUUAUAGCAAUGGAAUUUUAUGAUACCUAUCCAAAUCCUUCAUUUUUGUUUCUUUUGCUCAGUAUUAUGUUUAUGAAUUUCAACUUUCAUUGUAUAUAUUUGUGAUUCUUUGUUCUUUCUUGCUAUAUAUUAUUGCAUUUUGUGACUAUAUCAGAAAAUUUUGCUCAAAUAUUAUUAAUAAAUGUUUUUAGUAUUUCCAGAUUUAUUAUUGGAAAAAUAGUCUGAACAUUUUUUUGUUCAUGUUUCCUAGUGCAAAUAAACAAGAAAUACAUUUGAGUGUUUUCCUGAUGGUGAUUAUGCUGUGUGGGUAUAUGAAUAUUUAGCUUCAACAGAAAAUGCCAAAUUGUUUUCAAAAUAGUCUUUUCCAUUAUGGUUUAUUACAGGAUAUUGAAUAUAUUUCCCUGUGCUAGAGUAGAAUAUUGUUGUUUAUUUUAUAUAGAAUAUUUUCUAUCUGCUAAUAUAUCCCUUCCCCACUGUUUUUUCCCUUUGGUAUCCAUAAGAUUGUUUUCUAUGUCUGUGAGUCUGUUUCCAUUUAUUAAAUACAUCCAUUUGUAUCGUAUUUUAGGUUCCACAUGUAAGUGAUUUCAUAUAUUUACCUUUGUCUGACUUCACUUAGUAUGAUAAUCUCUAGGUUCAUCCAUAUUGCUGCAAAAGACAUUAUUUCAUUCUUUCUUAUGGAUGAGUAAUAUUCCACUGUAUGUAUGUACCACAUCUUCUUUAUUCAUGUGUUGAUGAACAGUUGUUUUGCUUCCAUGUCCUGUCUAUUGUAAAUAGUGCUUCUAUGAAUAUUGUGUUGAUGUGAGGUUAUAAAUCAUUGUAUUUUUGACUUGAAUUUCUUUAAUAAUUAGCAAUGUUAAGCAUCUUUUCAUGAGUUUUCCCCAUCUGUUUUUUUUUUUUUUUCUUGAGAAAAGUUUAUUGAAGUUCCCAUCGUGGCACAGUGGUUAACGAAUCCGACUAGGAACCAUGAGGUUGCGGGUUUGAUCCGUGCCCUUGCUCAGUUUUCUGC
rnacentral:lncRNA from 1 species